rnacentral:rRNA from 1 species
CCAAGGCGCUUGAGAGAACUCGGGUGAAGGAACUAGGCAAAAUGGUGCCGUAACUUCGGGAGAAGGCACGCUGACACGUAGGUGAAGUGAUUUACUCAUGGAGCUGAAGUCAGUCGAAGAUACCAGCUGGCUGCAACUGUUUAUUAAAAACACAGCACUGUGCAAACACGAAAGUGGACGUAUACGGUGUGACGCCUGCCCGGUGCCGGAAGGUUAAUUGAUGGGGUCAGCGCAAGCGAAGCUCCUGAUCGAAGCCCCGGUAAACGGCGGCCGUAACUAUAACGGUCCUAAGGUAGCGAAAUUCCUUGUCGGGUAAGUUCCGACCUGCACGAAUGGCGUAAUGAUGGCCAGGCUGUCUCCACCCGAGACUCAGUGAAAUUGAACUCGCUGUGAAGAUGCAGUGUACCCGCGGCAAGACGGAAAGACCCCGUGAACCUUUACUAUAGCUUGACACUGAACAUUGAGCCUUGAUGUGUAGGAUAGGUGGGAGGCUUUGAAGUGUGGACGCCAGUCUGCAUGGAGCCGACCUUGAAAUACCACCCUUUAAUGUUUGAUGUUCUAACGUGGACCCGUGAUCCGGGUUGCGGACAGUGUCUGGUGGGUAGUUUGACUGGGGCGGUCUCCUCCUAAAGAGUAACGGAGGAGCACGAAGGUUGGCUAAUCCUGGUCGGACAUCAGGAGGUUAGUGCAAUGGCAUAAGCCAGCUUGACUGCGAGCGUGACGGCGCGAGCAGGUGCGAAAGCAGGUCAUAGUGAUCCGGUGGUUCUGAAUGGAAGGGCCAUCGCUCAACGGAUAAAAGGUACUCCGGGGAUAACAGGCUGAUACCGCCCAAGAGUUCAUAUCGACGGCGGUGUUUGGCACCUCGAUGUCGGCUCAUCACAUCCUGGGGCUGAAGUAGGUCCCAAGGGUAUGGCUGUUCGCCAUUUAAAGUGGUACGCGAGCUGGGUUUAGAACGUCGUGAGACAGUUCGGUCCCUAUCUGCCGUGGGCGCUGGAGAACUGAGGGGGGCUGCUCCUAGUACGAGAGGACCGGAGUGGACGCAUCACUGGUGUUCGGGUUGUCAUGCCAAUGGCACUGCCCGGUAGCUAAAUGCGGAAGAGAUAAGUGCUGAAAGCAUCUAAGCACGAAACUUGCCCCGAGAUGAGUUCUCCCUGAGACUUUAGGUCUCCUGAAGGAACGUUGAAGACGACGACGUUGAUAGGCCGGGUGUGUAAGCGCAGCGAUGCGUUGAGCUAACCGGUACUAAUGAACCGUGAGGCUUAACCUUACA